rnacentral:lncRNA from 1 species
ACGUAGUUUAUAAUAAAUUUAAUAUUUACAAUAUUAACUGAAUUUGGAUUUGAAUAGAAUAACUUUCAUAAACAUCCUACCCAUUUACGCUCCACUUCAGUCAGUGUCUCAUAUUUGGUUUUCUUGUUGACUGCAUUAAAGUCCAACUCGCUCCCACCUCAUUUAAGGUCGCUCACUGGUCAGAAAUCAUAUUUCAUUUUCU